GAGACUCAUGGGUGCUUUUUCAAGGGUCUGGACAGGAUGUUGUAAAAAAAGCUAACAGCAAAUAGCUUAUUUGUUCAUAUGUCUUGAAACAGGGAUGAAUAAAGUCAGGUAAAGACAGUGCUAAGCAACUUUGUAUCAUACAUUUUUAGACAGACACUCCUUAAGUGACUAAUACGGUGCCCUGGUGCACUGAAUGGGUACCUGACCCAAAGCUGGAGACGGGUGCAAAAUGAAGGAGAUACCAGCUGUUUAUCCUGCAUUCAGUUACCUCAUGGGCCCACGUUCUUUGUAGAGAGUCCAUAUCUCUGUGGGAUGACUGGCCCCUCCCACUGUCGGGAGCGAAGGAUCUCUCUGAGCUGAUUCCACCCCUGACUUUUGGUUUCACUUACUUCCGUCCGAUGCAAACCCCAGAUUGUCCACCUGAGAAGUCUAAACAGCAUUACUUUGUGGUAUCUAAUCUUGGUUGUCAACUUGACUGCAUCUGGAAUCAACUAAAAUCUAAGCUACUGGGCUGUGUUGUGAGGGAUUUUUUUGAUCCAAUUAUUUGAAUCAAGAAGCAUCACCCCAAAUCUCCACAGCACGUUCUACUGCAGCCCACACAGGACAGGGAGAAGGAAACUUUACCUUUUGCCUGAUUGCCCUCACGCUCAGCGGCAAGUCCACCCAUUCUGGUGCUGUGACAUUCCCUCACCAACGUUAGGACCACUUCCUCAGGGUUCCAACCUAGACUGAAGACAAGCAGUGCUCCAGGAGUCCUCCAGGCCUUCAGUGACAUUGAAGCUGCUGAGUCAUCCAGUCUCCUGGACUGAGCAACUACAAGAAUUCUGGUCUCCUCCAGUGUGAGUCAGCCACCGUUGAACCACCCAAACGGAAUCCUCUCAUCCCCAUGAAAUGGAGCCCUCUGGUCUUCCCACUACCAACUACCGCUGGGCCCUCUGAGAGCCUAUCAUUAAGGAUGCUCUCCCAGCCACAGUAACCUCCAGAAGAAAGAAUGUAAAAUUAUAGCUUGCUCACAGAUGCUGUCUCAAUGAGAUAGCAUGGAAAGGAUGCCCCAGUUACAAGCAAACCAAACUUCCUAUGGACCUAACAUGAGAUGGCUGAGACAGAACCAAGAACACAGAAAGAGACGGCUCAGCGGGUGAAGUGUUGACGUGCAAACAUGUGGACCUGAGUUUGGACACCCAGCACUCAUGUAAAACCUGGACACUGUUGGCUUCCCUGGAACCCAGUGCUGGCUAGAAUGAGGGGAAGGCGACAGGGAUAGGCAGAUCCCUGGAGUUCACUGGCCAGCCAGUCUAGCCAAUCAGCAAGCUCCAAGUCUGAUGAGAGAUCCUGUGUCAAGAAUGUGAGAGAGAAUGCUAGAAGAUGCCUUACAUCGGCCCGCUCCCCACUCCUGAACAUGUAUAUACACUGUGAUACAUACACUCACAAAGAAAAGAAGGGCCUAGAAAGCCCUGGGUUCAAUUCCUACCACAGGUGGCGAAACAACAACAAAACAAAACCCAGCCAAGCAACCAAACAAACAAACAAAAAGACAAAUCAACAGCAAGAAUACAAAAGUCCGGUUAACCCAUCAAGGGUUUGCCUACCAUCCCUGGGAUAUGUGCUAUCCUCUACACCCCCUGCCCUCUCCCUGGUUCUCCCAGCCUGCUCAAGACACGCUGGGCACUUGCCAGCUGAACAAUAAGUGCAUGUCUACUUAGGCCGGCUUGUCUCAAACUGUCAGAAGUUUUGACUCUGCCUACACACUCUGGAGUUGUAAGACCAGGGUUGUAAAUAGUUGUCCUGAGGUCCCCUUCUCAGCUUUGCGGAAGUAGAUCCACCAGGGCUGAGCCAUUACCAUCAGCCAGGCUUCCUGAUUUGACUGUGAGUUGCAAGAGUCCUGGUUCUCACAGGUUGCUUUCCUCUCUGCCAGUCCAGCCACCCUACUUGACGUCGGGUCCUGGUGCAGGAACAGUAACAGUGUUUCACUCCCUGACUAUCUCACAGGAAAGAAGAGCUUGUCUCGACUCGAUGAUACAGUUGUGUAAUUCUACAUAUAGGGCUAAGCCCAUUCAGGCUGCCAUAGGGGCUUAAAGUGUUCUUUUUCUUCUUUUAGUGGGGUUCUAAAGGUUCCAGAAAAGGAGACUGUUAUGUAAUAGUUUCCUCCAAGAUUGAAACAUUCCAUCCUUCCAGGGAGCUCUUUAAGCAGAGAGUUAAGAACUCAGAAUAGCUUCAGGAAGUCCCUGAAACUAACUAGAUUGACUGGGUCCCUCCCGGCCAGAGAAAACAACAAAAGCUGCAAAGGUUUUUUGCAUUUCUGACAAUCUAAGAUGCAAAGACUCUGAGACCAGAUCAGCUACCUGGAAGAAGCAGAAACCAGUUGAGCUGCCUGGAAGAGGUUUAGACCAACUGAGUCACUUGGAAAGGCUGGGCAGUGUGCUCCAGGUUCCAGGUUUUG